rnacentral:rRNA from 1 species
CCUACGGGAGGCAGCAGUGGGGAAUUUUCCGCAAUGGGCGAAAGCCUGACGGAGCAACGCCGCGUGGGUGAUGAAGUCUUUCGGGACGUAAAACCCUUUCAGCAGGGACGAACAAAAUGACGGUACCUGCAGAAGAAGCAUCGGCUAACUACGUGCCAGCAGCCGCGGUAAUACGUAGGAUGCGAGCGUUGUCCGGAUUUAUUGGGCGUAAAGCGAACGUAGGCGGUUUCUUAAGUUUGGUCUUAAAGACCGGGGCUCAACCCCGGGAGUGGACUGAAUACUGGGAGACUAGAGGAUGUUAGAGGAAAGUGGAAUUCCAAGUGUAGCGGUGAAAUGCGUAGAUAUUUGGAGGAACACCAGUGGCGAAAGCGGCUUUCUGGGACAUUUCUGACGCUGAGGUUCGAAAGCUCGGGGAGCAAACAGGAUUAGAUACCCCUGGUAGUCCGAGCCGUAAACGAUGGACACUAGGUGUCGGGGGUAUCGACCCCCCGGUCGCGACGNUACGACGUAGUAGUCCGCCCUCGGGUAGGUACGGUACGGUCGACGACGUACGUAACGUAACUAACGAAAGUAAGUACGGACGNGAGACGACGCGACGACGACACACGGAGGAG